GGCUAGGCUCGACCGGGGCGUUCGGCGCGUCCUUGUACACCGCCACGUCGAUAGCGGGGGUGACAGGGGAGGACGUCGUAACCGGAGCGGUGCGGGCCCUGACGGCGACGAUGAGACCCUGUCCUGUGGGGUUGGAAGCGACUUGGAGGUGCGAUCGGAGGGUCGCAUGCCUUGCCCUAGUCACGGAGAGCGGGCCAGGCCCUGACGGGAGCAGCCUUACCGUGGAUUACCAACGCUCAGAGGGUCGCGGGGCUGAGAAGCUUGCAGGAUCACCCAAUCUAAUUCGGGCGGCUACCUUUCCGGCCUAGCA
rnacentral:SRP_RNA from 1 species